GGACUACACGGGUAUCUAAUCCCGUUUGCUCCCCUGGCUUUCGCGCCUCAGCGUCAGUAGAAGUCCAGCGCGCCGCUUUCGCCACCGGUGUUCCUUCCGAUAUCUACGCAUUUCACCGCUCCACCGGAAGUUCCGCACGCCCCUACUUCCCUCGAGACCGGCAGUAUCAAAGGCACUUCCACGGUUGAGCCGUGGGCUUUCACCCCUGACUGGCCAGCCCGCCUACGCGCCCUUUAAGCCCAGUGAUUCCGAACAACGUUCGCACGGUUCGUCUUACCGCGGCGGCUGGCAC
rnacentral:rRNA from 1 species